GAUGAACGCUGGCGGCGUGCCUAAUACAUGCAAGUCGAGCGAACGGACGAGAAGCUUGCGUCUCUGAUGUUAGCGGCGGACGGGUGAGUAACACGUGGAUAACCUACCUAUAAGACUGGGAUAACUUCGGGAAACCGGAGCUAAUACCGGAUAAUAUUUUGAACCGCAUGGUUCAAAAGUGAAAGACGGUCUUGCUGUCACUUAUAGAUGGUUCCGCGCUGCAUUAGCUAGUUGGUAAGGUAACGGCUUACCAAGGCAACGAUGCAUAGCCGACCUGAGAGGGUGAUCGGCCACACUGGAACUGAGACACGGUCCAGACUCCUACGGGAGGCAGCAGUAGGGAAUAUUACGCAAUGGGCGAAAGCCUGACGGAGCCACGCCGCGUGAGUGAUGAAGGUCUUCGGAUCGUAAAACUCUGUUAUUAGGGAAGAACAUAUGUGUAAGUAAAUGUGCACAUCUUGACGGUACCUAAUCAGAAAGCCACGGCUAACUACGUG
rnacentral:rRNA from 1 species